rnacentral:rRNA from 1 species
GUAGGUGGCAAGCGUUGUCCGGAAUUAUUGGGCGUAAAGCGCGCGCAGGCGGUCCUUUAAGUCUGAUGUGAAAGCCCACGGCUCAACCGUGGAGGGUCAUUGGAAACUGGGGGACUUGAGUACAGAAGAGGAAAGCGGAAUUCCAAGUGUAGCGGUGAAAUGCGUAGAGAUUUGGAGGAACACCAGUGGCGAAGGCGGCUUUCUGGUCUGUAACUGACGCUGAGGCGCGAAAGCGUGGGGAGCAAACAGGGAUUAGAUACCCUGGUAGUCCACGCCGUAAACGAUGAGUGCUAAGUGCUAGGGGGGUUUCCGCCCCCCUUAGUGCUGCAGCUAACGCAUUAAGCACUCCGCCUGGGGAUACGGCCGCAAGGCUG